rnacentral:rRNA from 1 species
GGAGUUAGCCGGUGCUUCUUCUGCGAGUAACGUCACAGAUGUAAGGUAUUAACUUACACCCUUUCCUCCUCGCUGAAAGUGCUUUACAACCCGAAGGCCUUCUUCACACACGCGGCAUGGCUGCAUCAGGGUUUCCCCCAUUGUGCAAUAUUCCCCACUGCUGCCUCCCGUAGGAGUCUGGGCCGUGUCUCAGUCCCAGUGUGGCUGAUCAUCCUCUCAGACCAGCUAGGGAUCGUCGCCUAGGUGAGCCUUUACCUCACCUACUAGCUAAUCCCACCUGGGCUUAUCCAUCAGCGCAAGGCCCGAAGGUCCCCUGCUUUCCCCCGUAGGGCGUAUGCGGUAUUAGCAGUCGUUUCCAACUGUUAUCCCCCACAAAUGGGCAAAUUCCCAGGCAUUACUCACCCGUCCGCCGCUCGUCAUCUUCAAAAGCAAGCUUUUGAAAUGUUACCGCUCGACUUGCAUGUGUUAGGCCUGCCGCCACGCGUCAUCUGAGCGAGAUACAACUACUCGA